rnacentral:rRNA from 1 species
CAGUCGCCGCGGGAAUACAGAGGAUGCAAGCGUUAUCCGGAAUGAUUGGGCGUAAAGCGUCUGUAGGUGGCUUUUCAAGUCCGUCGUCAAAUCCCAGGGCUCAACCGUGGACAGGCGGUGGAAACUACCAAGCUGGAGUAUGGUAGGGGCAGAGGGAAUUUCCGGUGGAGCGGUGAAAUGCGUUGAGAUCGGAAAGAGCACCAACGGCGAAAGCACUCUGCUGGGCCGACACUGACACUGAGAGACGAAAGCUAGGGGAGCAAAUGGGAUUAGAUACCCCGGUAGUCCCUGUCUCUUAUAC